GGCGCUCCGGUGGCCUAAGUAGUUAGAGCGCUCGCCUCGUGCGAGUGAGAUCGCGGGUUCGAUCCCCGGCUGUGUCA